UACGAAGGGGGCUAGCGUUGCUCGGAAUCACUGGGCGUAAAGGGUGCGUAGGCGGGUCUUUAAGUCAGAGGUGAAAUCCUGGAGCUCAACUCCAGAACUGCCUUUGAUACUGGCAACCUAGAGACUGGAAGAGGUUAGUGGAAUUCCCAGUGUAGAGGUGAAAUUCGUAGAUAUUGGGAAGAACACCAGUGGCGAAGGCGGCUAACUGGUCCAGCACUGACGCUGAGGUGCGAAAGCGUGGGGAGCAAACAGG
rnacentral:rRNA from 1 species